AAACUAACAAGGAUUCCCCUAGUAACGGCGAGUGAAGCGGGAAGAGCUCAAAUUUGAAAUCUGGUAGCCUUCGGCUGCCCGAGUUGUAAUCUAGAGAAGUGUUUUCCGUGCCGGCCCAUGUACAAGUCCCUUGGAACAGGGCGUCAUAGAGGGUGAGAAUCCCGUCCUUGACAUGGACCCCCGGUGCUUUGUGAUACACUUUCAACGAGUCGAGUUGUUUGGGAAUGCAGCUCAAAAUGGGUGGUGAAUUCCAUCUAAAGCUAAAUAUUGGCGAGAGACCGAUAGCGAACAAGUACCGUGAGGGAAAGAUGAAAAGCACUUUGGAAAGAGAGUUAAACAGUACGUGAAAUUGUUGAAAGGGAAACGAUUGAAGUCAGUCAUGCUCUUUGGAUUCAGCCGUUCUGCGGUGUAUUUCCAUUGAGUGGGGUCAACAUCAGUUUUGACCGCUGGAUAAAGGCACUAGGAAGGUAGCACUCUCGGGUGAACUUAUAGCCUAGCGUCAUAUACAGUGGUUGGGACUGAGGAACGCAGCAUGCCUUUAUGGCCGGGAUUCGUCCACGUACAUGCUUAGGAUGUUGACAUAAUGGCUUUAAACGACC
rnacentral:rRNA from 3 species